rnacentral:lncRNA from 10 species
UAAAGAGAUGGGGUCUCACUCUGUUGCUUAGGGUGAAGUGCAGUAGUGCAAUCAAAGCACACUGCAUCCUUGAACUCCUGGGCUCAAGCCAUCCUCCCACUUCAGCCUGAGUAGCUGGGGCUAGAGGUGUGAGUUCCAUGCCCAGCUCAUUGUUUUUAAAUUUUUGUUUGUAGAGACAAGCUCUUCCUAUGUUACCCAAACUGGUCUCAAACACCUGGGCUCAAGGGAUCCUCCCAAAGUGCUGGAAUUACAGGCAUGAGCCACCAAGCCUGGCCUCAUCAUGGAUUUUUGCAUUAAUUUUGAUUUUUAAAAAAUACUGCUGUAAGGUCAGGCACAGUGGCUCAUGCCUGUAGUCCCAGCACUUUGGGAGGCUGAGUCAGGAUUUGAAUCUGGGCAGCCUGGCUCUAGGUGCUGGGCUCUAGAUGGAAGGCCCUGUCUGAGCUCCCUGCACUAGGAACAAGUGUGGUCAGGGGCUGGACGGUCAGCUUUUGGGUAGCCAUUCAAGAAAUGUAUUGAAAAACCUAGAGAGGCAGGCUAGGGAGAGCUGAGUUGGUUACAUCUGGGGUCCAUCUAGGGUUCCAUCCCUGGAAGAGAUGGUGGUGGUUAGGGCUGUCCGGAGCUCCUCAGGGGCAAAGACCCCCAGUUCUGUGAUGAUGCCACCAGUGAUGAGGUCGUGGGGGGUGACAUCGAAGGCAGGAUUCCAAACUCCAAUCCCUGCAGGGGAGAGAGGGGAGGCAAGGAGGCAAGAAUUUGCUUCUGUGAAAGUUCUCAGGUUGUAGUCAUCUGUUUCUACCACAGUGGUUCUUGGAGUUGGGGAGUCCUUGAGAACCUGAGGAUUCUCACCCCAAAAGUACAUGCAGGCAUGGACAUUGUACUCAAUAGUAAGUUUAGACUCGCCACUGCCCCUAGAAUGUCAGUCCCCAAGAAAAAUUCAAAGUCCUAUACACAUCUAUGCCACUUAUUUUUUUAUUUUUUGUGAGAUGUAGUUUUGCUCUUGUUGCCCAGGCUGGAGUGCAAUGGCACGAUCUUGGUUCACUGCAACCUCCACCUCCCAGGUUUCAAGCAAUUCUCCUGCCUCAGCCUCCCGAGUAGCUGGGAUUACAGGCAUGCACCACCAUGCCCAGCCAGUAUUUUUAGUAGAGACGAGGUUUUUCCAUGUUGGUCAGGCUGGUCUCAAACUCCCGACCUCAGGUGAUCUGCCCGCCUCGGCCUCCCAAAGUGCUGGGAUUACAGGCGUGAGCCACCGCACCUGGCCCAUCCCACUUAUUUUUUUAGUUU